GGGGCGUAGCUCAAAUGGUAGAGCCCUCGCUUAGUCUGCGAGAGGUACGGGGAUCGAUACCCCGAGCUUCCA
rnacentral:tRNA from 1 species